UGGGGAAUAUUGCACAAUGGGCGCAAGCCUGAUGCAGCCAUGCCGCGUGUAUGAAGAAGGCCUUCGGGUUGUAAAGUACUUUCAGUCGGGAGGAAGGUGUCAAGGUUAAUAACCUUGGCAAUUGACGUUACCGACAGAAGAAGCACCGGCUAACUCCGUGCCAGCAGCCGCGGUAAUACGGAGGGUGCAAGCGUUAAUCGGAAUUACUAGGCGUAAAGCGCACGCAGGCGGUUGAUUGAGUCAGAUGUGAAAUCCCCGGGCUUAACCCGGGAAUUGCAUCUGAUACUGGUCAGCUAGAGUCUUGUAGAGGGGGGUAGAAUUCCAUGUGUAGCGGUGAAAUGCGUAGAGAUGUGGAGGAAUACCGGUGGCGAAGGCGGCCCCCUGGACAAAGACUGACGCUCAGGUGCGAAAGCGUGGGGAGCAAACAGG
rnacentral:rRNA from 1 species